UACGAAGGGGGCUAGCGUUGCUCGGAAUCACUGGGCGUAAAGCGCACGUAGGCGGAUUGUUAAGUCAGGGGUGAAAUCCUGGAGCUCAACUCCAGAACUGCCUUUGAUACUGGCGAUCUUGAGUCCGGGAGAGGUGAGUGGAACUGCGAGUGUAGAGGUGAAAUUCGUAGAUAUUCGCAAGAACACCAGUGGCGAAGGCGGACUCACUGGCCCGGUACUGACGCUGAGGU
rnacentral:rRNA from 1 species